rnacentral:rRNA from 1 species
UACAGAGGGUGCAAGCGUUAAUCGGAAUUACUGGGCGUAAAGCGUGCGUAGACGGUUGCGUAAGUCAGAGGUGAAAUCCCCGGGGCUCAACCCCGGAACUGCCUUUGAGACUGCAUCGCUUGAAUCCAGGAGAGGUGAGUGGAAUUCCGAGUGUAGAGGUGAAAUUCGUAGAUAUUCGGAAGAACACCAGUGGCGAAGGCGGCUCACUGGGACUG